GCAAUCUGAUUUGCUUAUUGCACCACAUGUGUUUUUCUUUGAAACAAACUUGCUUUGGCGGUGGGCCCAGCCUGCCGCCAGAGGUCUAAACUUACAACCAAUUUUUUAUCAACUUGUCACACCAGAUUAUUACUUAAUAGUCAAAACUUUCAACAACGGAUCUCUUGGUUCUCGCAUCGAUGAAGAACGCAGCGAAAUGCGAUACGUAAUAUGAAUUGCAGAUAUUCGUGAAUCAUCGAAUCUUUGAACGCACAUUGCGCCCUCUGGUAUUCCGGAGGGCAUGCCUGUUUGAGCGUCGUUUCUCCCUCAAACCGCUGGGUUUGGUGUUGAGCAAUACGACUUGGGUUUGCUUGAAAGACGGUAGUGGUAAGGCGGGAUCGCUUUGACAAUGGCUUAGGUCUAACCAAAAACAUUGCUUGCGGCGGUAACGUCCACCACGUAUAUCUUCAAACUUUGACCUCAAAUCAGGUAGGACUACCCGCUGAACUUAAGCAUAUCAAAGGGGGGAAGGAA
rnacentral:rRNA from 1 species